UUGUAGCUAGAUAUAGAGUUUAUGAAGUAAUAUGACAUUUCUAAGGGUUACUUUAAGAUUGUCAUGGAACUCUGAGUAGGUCAGAGGAAGAGAAUUUUCCAGAAUGCCUUAGGAAAGGCAGUUGGAAAUAAUGAUGCCUCUUCUGGGACAGAGAUUCAGAGCUUCUGGUUCAUCUGUCUUGGAUAACUGAGAAACUACAUCCUCUUUUUCAUGCUGUGGUCUACUGUUCCCAACAUCAAGCUUGUUGAAUGACUGAUCUUCUGUUUGUAUUUGGGUCUUAAUAAUAAAAAAUAGCAAACAUAUGCUUCAUGAUAAAUGUUACUCUAAGAAAUACACUUGUUACUUGGAUAAUUCAAAAGUUUUUAUCAGUUAGCUUAAUUCCUCUAUUGAAGUAAUGCUCCCUCCACACAACAGUUUCUGUGACCAAAAACUCCACUGCCUGAAGGUGAACUUUCUUAUGAUGAGCCUUGCUAAUUUAACUAAGCUGAUGCCCAUAUUCCAAGUCAAGCAUGUCACCAGACUUGUGACAGAAGCUUUUCCAUUUUAAAAGAACCUGCUAGUAUUUGUAAUCUACUAAGAAAGCCUUUGAGAAUAAAUCAACUCUAUAUCUCAAAAAGGUGUCAAGAGUAGGACUUCAGUGGAGAAGGAAAUAUACUCUGGGGAAAAGGACUUCAUUUGAAAAUCCAGGCUAUUGUACUUCUAGGGAAAGAAAGGAAAGGUAUCCAAUUUAUAAAUAAAAUUCCAACAUGAUUCAUUAAA